GCAUUUCCUCAUUUCCUGCUUCAUUAUGAGCAUGCCCCAGCAUCUGCUUAGUGGAGGAUGAUCUUAGAAGAGGUAUUAGGAGGCCACUUGUGCGAUGGGAUCUUUGUCCUGCCUGGAUGAGUCACCAAAACCUCGAGGACAGCUCGAAUGGACUGUGGAAAAGCUGAGUGAGGGUGUGGUCCCUGCUGCAGGGAGAGCAAGACAGAGAGAACAGAUAGCUACAGGAUCCUGAGGGCAGAGAUGGCGUGAUAGGAGUUUCAGCUGUGAGGCUGGGGGAGCUGUGAUUGCCAACAGGAUGCAAGCUCAUGAUAAAGCACAGCUCCCUGCACUGCGAUAGGUGUUGGCUGCAUUUGAUCCUGAACCAUGCAAAACAAGAGGAACAUUGCAUUCCUCUGCCUCCCAUUCAUGUGUUUCACCACAAGGGCUGUUCCCUGGCCAUUCCACGAUGAUGACUGCAUCAAAGAAGCCAGUGCUCUGAAAUAGCACACAGAGAAAUACCACAGCAAUUCUCAUUUGGAGUCUAUAGUGGGAGAGCAAUUUCCAAAAAUGAAGGGCAAGGUUCCUAAUCCAUAGCAGCUUUUUGCCAGAGAGAUGUGGGAGAGAAGAAACAGGAUGCAUCCUGCAUGAAUCAUCUCUGUAACCACCCUGGAUUUAUUAACUGAGAUUAUGAGGAAUAACCAAAAAUGAUUAAAAUCUCAAAUGUCUGGUGAAAGGCGUCUCCUCAAGCACUGGGUGUUGUGAGAUAGUGCCGUAGUCUUCCUGUUGAUCUCAAAGACUUGAGGGCUAAAAGGUCAAGUUUUCAAGACCAAAUAAUUCAUUGUUUAAAAUGAUGAGACAACCGUCAUCACCACCUAUCAGAGAGGGGUAAAGACAUCCCCAGGCCCUGGGAUCUUUGUCCUUCCCCAAAACAGGGUGACUACAACCACCCCUUUUCCUUUCCACUCACCAGCUCAUCGGUAUUUGCACAGCUGCUGCCUCCCACUCCUA